UCUCCUUCCUUUCUUCCUCUCUUCAUCUCUAAAUCGGUACUCCUCCAAGAUCACUCCUCCCUCACCAUCAUCGAAUCCAUCUUCAUUUGAAGCACUCUCGAUUUAGCGUUCGCUCUUCACCGAACUACAUCUUCUUUGCUACCUUGAGCGUCACCUCAAACACCAAACCUCAUCUUCCGCGGUAAAAGAUGAAGUGGUUAUUGAUCUAGUUGAUCGCUGUCGCACAAACCAGAAAAAGUUGAUGCAAAUGCUAACUUCAACUGGGGACGAGGAGCUUCUUGGACGAGGCCUCGAAUUAAAGUGCCCUAACAAACAAGGGAGAGAAUGGGAGGGAUGUGUGACAAGUGUCCCACUACAAAUAAUGCAUAAGCAAUCAUGAAUAGGAGAAAAAAAAAAUAAAAAUUCAGCUGCAAUAUUCCCCUUCAUGCUGGACUGUGGAUGUGCAAGAGUCCCAGCUUGGCAACAUAUUGUGAGGUUUAUAGGGAGGAGAGUUACAGUUAAUGUAAGCCAAUUGAUUGGAAGGUGCAACGGGAAGGUCCUUCCUUUUUUUUUUUGCUAAUCGAUAUUGUGUUGUUAGAUGUCUAGAUAAUUUCUGUUCUUUGUCAUAAGAAGGCUGGAGUUUGUACUACAAGAUAUGUGAGUUUGCAGAGAAGUGCUUAU